GAACGCCGUAGCAAUACGGAGUGGCAGACGGGUGAGUAACGCGUGGGAACAUACCCCUCGGUUCGGAAUAACUCAGGGAAACUUGAGCUAAUACCGGAUACGUCCAAGGUUUUAAUCGACCUUGGAGAAAGAUUUAUCGCCGGGGGAUUGGCCCGCGUCUGAUUAGCUUGUUGGUGAGGUAAUGGCUCACCAAGGCGACAAUCAGUAGCUGGUCUGAGAGGAUGAUCAGCCACAUUGGGACUGAGACACGGCCCAAACUCCUACGGGAGGCAGCAGUGGGGAAUAUUGGACAAUGGGCGAAAGCCUGAUCCAGCCAUGCCGCGUGAGUGAUGAAGGCCUUAGGGUUGUAAAGCUCUUUUACCCGGGAAGAUAAUGACGGUACCGGGAGAAUAAGCCCCGGCUAACCUCGUGCCAGCAGCCGCGGUAAUACGAAGGGGGCUAGCGUUGUUCGGAAUUACUGGGCGUAAAGCGCACGUAGGCGGAUCCUUAAGUCAGGGGUGAAAUCCCGAGGCUCAACCUCGGAACUGCCUUUGAUACUGGGGAUAUCGAGUCCGGGAGAGGUGAGUGGAACUGCGAGUGUAGAGGUGAAAUUCGUAGAUAUUCGCAAGAACACCAGUGGCGAAGGCGGCUCACUGGCCCGGUACUGACGCUGAGGUGCGAAAGCGUGGGGA
rnacentral:rRNA from 1 species